rnacentral:lncRNA from 1 species
GCAAAAAAAGUUAUGUGAUUGGUUUUGUAUGCGUUAGCGAUCAUCAAACCUGUGACAUAGAUAAGAUUGGAGUUCAUGCAGUUGGAAUGCCUGAGACCAGUUUUAGCCUUGCUGCUCUUGCUUCUUUGGCUACUGCUCCGGCUAAGGCUUUCUUUCUGCUUUGACUUGCCUUCCUUAUCUUUCAAUCUGGACUUGCAUGUAUUCCAUGACUAUUUCGAGCGAUUGCUGCUAUCUGGCUUGAGUUAGACAAGCAGAGAAGGAUAUUAUGCCACUAGUGACCCGCCUGUCUAUAUAGUAUCUAGUACUAGGACUCAUAGAGUAGAGGCACUAUUGGGCGGGGCUUCCUCGAUAACAGCUUCUCGCGUAGCUAACUGCCAGACAAGGAUGCAAAUCAACUCCUUAUAUAGAAUGCAGAUCGACACAUUCAAUGAAGCAGUCAGUACAACAGACAAGUUACUUUCUUAUUCUAGGAUUGGAAGAUCAUCUAUCUAUUAGCAUACACGUACCGACAGUUAGACUAGAACUCUCUCCCCAAUCAAUCGCAGUAACUGGCUGUAAGAGAGCGGACUGUCUACUAUCUAUGUCAUGCCUUGGCAGGUGAAUAUG